rnacentral:tRNA from 1 species
UCCCUGGUGGCUCAGAUGGUAAAAGUGUCUGCCUAUGAUGCAGGAGACCCAGGUUUGAUCCCUGGGUCCGGAA